rnacentral:rRNA from 1 species
UUGGAGGGCAAGUCUGGUGCCAGCAGCCGCGGUAAUUCCAGCUCCAAUAGCGUAUAUUAAAGUUGUUGCAGUUAAAAAGCUCGUAGUUGAAUUUCGGGAUCAAUACGUCGGUCGUGCUUUUUUGGUACGCACUGGCGUCAUUGGUUUCUCCUUUCUGACGAACCAUGAUGUCAUUAAUUUGGUGUUAUGGGGAGUUAGGACUGUUACUUUGAAAAAAUUAGAGUGUUUAAAGCAGGCAUUAGCUUGAAUACAUUAACAUGGAAUAAUGAAAUAGGACGUUCGAUCCUAUUUUGUUGGUUUCUAGGAUCAACGUAAUGAUUAAUAGGGAUAGUUGGGGGCAUUAGUAUUCAAUUGUCAGAGGUGAAAUUCUUGGAUUUAUUGAAGACUAACUACUGCGAAAGCAUUUGCCAAGGAUGUUUUCAUUAAUCAAGAACGAAAGUUAGGGGAUCGAAGACGAUCAGAUACCGUCGUAGUCUUAACCAUAAACUAUGCCGACUAGGGAUCGGAUGAUGUUAAUUUUUUAAUGACUCAUUCGGCGCCUUACGGGAAAC